GCGGAAGGCCCUUUCGGGGGUACUCGAGCGGCGAACGGGUGAGUAACACGUGAGUAAUCUGCCCUUGGCUUCGGGAUAACCACCGGAAACGGUGGCUAAUACCGGAUACGACCAGCCCCGGCAUCGGGUGUUGGUGGAAAGUUUUUUCGGCCAGGGAUGUGCUCGCGGCCUAUCAGCUUGUUGGUGGGGUAAUGGCCUACCAAGGCUUCGACGGGUAGCCGGCCUGAGAGGGUGACCGGCCACACUGGGACUGAGACACGGCCCAGACUCCUACGGGAGGCAGCAGUGGGGAAUAUUGGACAAUGGGCGAAAGCCUGAUCCAGCAACGCCGCGUGAGGGAUGACGGCCUUCGGGUUGUAAACCUCUUUCAGUACCGACGAAGCGCCGAUGAUGGUGGUGACGGUAGGUACAGAAGAAGCACCGGCCAACUACGUGCCAGCAGCCGCGGUAAUACGUAGGGUGCGAGCGUUGUCCGGAAUUAUUGGGCGUAAAGGGCUCGUAGGCGGUUUGUCGCGUCGGGAGUGAAAACACCGGGCUUAACUCGGUGCUUGCUUCCGAUACGGGCAGACUAGAGGCAUGCAGGGGAGAACGGAAUUCCUGGUGUAGCGGUGAAAUGCGCAGAUAUCAGGAGGAACACCGGUGGCGAAGGCGGUUCUCUGGGCAUGUCCUGACGCUGAGGAGCGAAAGUGUGGGGAGCGAACAGGAUUAGAUACCCUGGUAGUCCACACCGUAAACGUUGGGCGCUAGGUGUGGGGCCUAUUCCAUGGGUUCCGUGCCGCAGCUAACGCAUUAAGCGCCCCGCCUGGGGAGUAC
rnacentral:rRNA from 1 species